CGAAAUGCUGACAACACCUAGGAGGAUCCUGAGUACGACGGAACACGAGAAAUUCCGUCGGAAUCCGCGGGGACCAUCCCGCAAGGCUAAAUACUCCCUAGUGACCGAUAGUGAACCAGUACCGUGAGGGAAAGGUGAAAAGCACCCCGGAAGGGGAGUGAAAUAGAUCCUGAAACCGUGUGCCUACAACAAGUCAAAGCUCGUUAAUGAGUGAUGGCGUGCCUUUUGUAGAAUGAACCGGCGAGUUACGAUUGCAUGCGAGGUUAAGUCGAAGAGACGGAGCCGCAGCGAAAGCGAGUCUGAAUAGGGCGAAUGAGUAUGUAGUCGUAGACCCGAAACCAUGUGAUCUACCCAUGUCCAGGUUGAAGGUGCGGUAAAACGCACUGGAGGACCGAACCCACGUACGUUGAAAAGUGCGGGGAUGAGGUGUGGGUAGCGGAGAAAUUCCAAACGAACUUGGAGAUAGCUGGUUCUCUCCGAAAUAGCUUUAGGGCUAGCCUCGGAAUUGAGAAUGAUGGAGGUAGAGCACUGUUUGGACUAGGGGCCCAUCUCGGGUUACCGAAUUCAGAUAAACUCCGAAUGCCAUUCAUUUAUAUCCGGGAGUCAGACUGCGAGUGAUAAGAUCCGUAGUCGAAAGGGAAACAGCCCAGACCACCAGCUAAGGUCCCAAAAUAUAUGUUAAGUGGAAAAGGAUGUGGGGUUGCACAGACAACUAGGAUGUUGGCUUAGAAGCAGCCACCAUUUAAAGAGUGCGUAAUAGCUCACUAGUCGAGUGACCCUGCGCCGAAAAUGUACCGGGGCU
rnacentral:rRNA from 1 species